rnacentral:rRNA from 1 species
AGAGGAGUGGCGGACGGGUGAGUAACACGUGGGUAACCUACCCAUCAGAGGGGGAUAACACUUGGAAACAGGUGCUAAUACCGCAUAACAGUUUAUGCCGCAUGGCAUAACGAGUGAAAGGCGCUUAUCGGGUGUCGCUGAUGGAUGGACCCGCGGUGCAUUAGCUAGUUGGUGAGGUAACGGCUCACCAAGGCCACGAUGCAUAGCCGACCUGAGAGGGUGAUCGGCCACACUGGGACUGAGACACGGCCCAGACUCCUACGGGAGGCAGCAGUAGGGAAUCUUCGGCAAUGGACGAAAGUCUGACCGAGCAACGCCGCGUGAGUGACGAAGGUUUUCGGAUCGUAAAACUCUGUUGUUCAGAGAAGAACAAGGACGUUAGUAACUGACCGUCCCCAUGACGGUAUCUAACCAGUAAGCCACGGCUAACUACGUGCCAGCAGCCGCGGUAAUACGUAGGUGGCAAGUGUUUCCGGAUGUAUUGGGCGUAAAGCGAGCGCAGGCGGUUUCUUAAGUCUGAUGUGAAAGCCCCCGGCUCAACCGGGGAGGGUCAUUGGAAACUGGGAUGACUUGAGUGUCAGAAGAGCCAGAGUGGAAUUCCAUGUGGUACUGGUGAAAUGCCGUAGAUAUAUGGAGGAACACCAGUGGCAGAAGCUGCUCUCUGGUCUGUAACUGACAGCUGAGGCUCGUAAGCGUGGGGA